AAAUAAUUUUUGCGAUUUUUUGAUAUUAUUUACCUAGCGAUUGAAAGGAUUCAAAAUCCAUAAUUUUUAAUGGUUGAUAUUUGCCGUUUUCAAGUUUAACGGUGUAGAAGUAUUCAAAUCAGAUGAAAUUUUGAUAGAAAAUUUUUUAUACUAUCUACGACAAGAUCAAUAUUUCUGAUCGAAAAUUUUAGUAUUAUAUCACCACUUUUUAUAGGAUUUUUAUUUUCAGCCGUUAAAAAUUAUUGAUUUUGAAUCCUUUCGAUUGCUAGGUAAAUAAUAUCAAAAAAUCACAAAAAUUAUUUUCUAGAAACUUCAAAUAUGCUAGAUCAAGUUUAACGGAGCCGAUCGUUGAUUCGAAAAUUCCAUCAUCGAAAAUGGCUCACAACAGCCUUGCUCUCUCUCUCUCUCUCUCUCUCUCUCUCNAAUUAGUUUUGACGUUAUAAUAGGAGAUACCACAUUUGGAAAAAUGUUAUAUAUGAGAGAUCUGCGUGAAAAAAAUGUAUGCAGAGCAGAUGGAUGGAACAUAAUAUGCUAAUUUAAUUAUGAUUGUCGCUAAUUUUCAUUACUUUUUUUAUUGUCUCCCUUAUUUUUGGUGGGAAAAAGAAAAAAAAAAUUUCUUUUUGCAUAUCUAAAAAUUUAGUAUAAAUCUUAUAUCUUACUGUCCAAGAAUUUAAACAACAUAUUCUGAGUCUUUAGUUAAAAAAAAUUAAAAAAAAAGUGAAAAGACUAAGUACAGAGUAAAAAAAAUGUAAGAUUUAUACCUAUACUUUUGGCAAGUUCCUACGCCAAAAUCAGUUAAACAUCGCUACCAAAGCUUUUGGCUUUAUUUGGUAUUACAAGCUAGCAUUUUUUUUAUAGUUUAUUUAUAGUUUGAUAGAAUUUGUGAUAUUUUUUGGCAAUAAAUGAAAAUUAUGAACUAUCCUUUUUUUCCCUUUUAAGGAAUGCUUUUUUCUUUUUUUUUUGACAUUAAGUCAGAUUGCAUUAUAAAUUAGUCACGACUAUGAGUAGAUUUUUUAUUUCCCAGCAUAUCUAACCAUGUAGAAUUUUUUCAUUACAAAAAAAAAAAAAAACAAUCCUAAUGUUUUUGCAUCCUAAUGUUUUGAUAUAUCAAAUUUCUCCCCAAUUUUUAUUUUCUCUCUUAUUCUAACUACCCAUCAAAAUUAACAAGAGCCGCUAUACUCUUAUAUAUAUAUUUAUCUUUUUCUCUCUAUAUCUCUAUCUAUAUAUAUAUAUAUAUAUAUAUAGUUGAGCUAGAAUACUCUCAAAAGCACCAAGUGAGGGGUACUUUUGAGUUUUUAGCCAUUGGAUGGAGAGAUAUAAUAAUAUUAUACUAAUCAUAAUAUUAUACUGAUCUGAUGUCACUGUCGCUGAUUCAUUAAGUAAUCGAACCACUGGUCGAAUCAGUAACACCUUAAACCUGCAGUUUGCUACAUAAUUCCACCUUUAAAAUACAUUGAAAGAGCUAUGUAACUCUUCAUUACUACACAUUUAUAUUGAAUCAAACAAAAUUACUACAAUGGCUAUAUUGAAAAACUUUUUUCCUUUUUUUUUUUUGGUCCUGCAGUGGUUGAGUGAUCACCCGGAGUUCAUCUCCAAUCCCCUCUACAUCGGCGGCGAUUCGUAUUCCGGCAUCACCGUGCCCGUGGCUUCGUCGGAAAUCGUUAAAAGUAAUUUCUUGUUACCCUUCAAUUAUUAGCCUAUAUGUACGUAUUUUAUGUAUGUUACAUUUGUUUAAGUAGAACAUGUCAAAAUUUUAUAGCGUGUUAUUUCUUAGAAAGGAAAAAAAGAAAACCAUGGUAGCUACAAUAUGUUAUGUGGUUUCUCCUAGAUAUUGUUUUAUUUUACUAUUCGCUGAAUCAUUUUGUUGCUAAAUUGAACAUAUUUUGUUAAUAAAUUUAAUUAUAUAUUAUAUACCUUUUUACAGGUAAUCAUGCUAGUGAUGGGCUGAAGCUUAAUCUCAAGGUUAAUGACUAAUUAAUCUCACAAAAAAAAAACAAAUAUUUGGGGCAAAAUUCAUAGUAAAACUUUUCAAAUCUUGUUCUGGUAUAUAUAUAUAUAUUGGGGACAUAAGAGUUUAUAGAUUUUUGGAUUUUUUUUUGACAUUUUUUCAGGGUUAUCUAGUCGGCAACGGAGCGACCGAUUAUCUCAAUUUCGAUGGUAACUCAAAGGUUCCAUUUGCUCAUGGCAUGGGGCUUAUAUCAGAUGAAAUGUAUGAGGUAAAACAAUAUCAAAUACUUAAAAAAGUUUUUGUAGUGCCAAGUUAAAUGUUUAUGUAUUAGCCAAGUGCUUAGUUGGAACAUUAAUUACUUAUUCUUAAUCUAAUCAAUCUUAUUCUUUGAGUUGUUUUAUAAACUUUGUUCUCUUGUUCCGAAUUUUAGGCCGCGAAGAACACUUGUGGAGGGCAAUACUUACUUCCACCUAAUCCCGAAUGCGCGAAAAAUGUUGAAACUAUCAAUGAGGUGAGAGAGAAGUUUCAACAUCAAUUGUUAGCUAUCCUCAAUUUGUAGCUAAAACAAAUUCUCUUUGUGUGUGUGUGUGUGUGUAUGUAUUUAUGUUUGAAUCUGCAGUGUUUGCAAGGCAUAAAUGUAGUCCACAUUUUGGAGCCACUUUGCGGUUUCGCGAGCCCGAAGCGCGAUGUAAUUUCCGCAGAUAGAAAGAAGCCAAUAGGGUACAAUGAGGAAGAGUUCUCACUACUGAAACUGGGCCUUCCGGUGGAGUGUAGAGUAAUGCUGCUUCUGCAAACUGAUCAUUUCUGUACCAGUUAUCACAUAAAAUAUCAUUUUUAUGACGGAAAAGACAAUGAAAUUUCGAUCCGAAUUCCUCUCGCAGGAUUCUGGAUACCGACUCUCGUAUGUGUGGGCGGACGACGGUGCUGUAAGAGAGGCUCUCGGCAUUCGUAAGGUACACAACAAGCACUAAAAUUUGAUAACAAAAAUGAUGAAUGUGAGUUGUUGUUGUUGUUGUUGUUGUUUUUGUUGUAUUCAGUGCAGAUUCUUUGUUUCUUUAGUUCAGAAAAUGAUUGUUUCAGCAUUAUCUGAUGCAAAAGUUUGAAUGGUGUGCUAUGCAGGGAUCAAUAGGUUCCUGGAUGAGAUGUAACUAUUCCCAAAACUACGCGAACGAUUUCACGAGUGUUAUCGAACUCCAUCGGAAUCUUACUGCUCAAGGAUACCAAGCUCUCAUAUACAGGUUCGAUCAUUUUCGCUGUCGGUACAAAUCUUCAUUCAUGUCAUCUUAUGCUGGCUUUUUCUCUGUUUCUUUGACAUGAGACAUUGCGUUGACGCAGCGGUGAUCACGACAUGGAUAUGCCGUUCGUGGGCACAGAAGCGUGGGUAAGAUCUCUCGGUUUCCCCAUUGUUGAUGACUGGCGGUCUUGGUGGGUUGAUGGACAAGUUGCGGGGUAAAGCUCCAAACUGAAUUUAAUCUUCUCCCGUGUAAAUCAGGCUUUAUUGGUAGAAUUAGAGCUUCUGCAAAAAUGUUGUUUUGAGUUAGAGCUUUUUUGGCCAAGGUUAUGCAAAAUCACUUGCUUUCUAAGGCCAAAUCCCAUCAAAGAAUCCAAUCAAGAGCAGCUACAUGCCCGGCAAAUUUACACGGCAAAUACUAACUUCGCCCUCAAAAGUGUAAACAAAACCUAAAAUAAGGGCUGUAAUUUAGAAUACCCUCUACAACUUUCUGCUUAAGCAAAAGUAAGAGCUUUAUAUUGGAGCUUCUGAUCCUGGAUUCUAGAAGCUUGUUUUUGCUUCUCGCCUUCUCUGACUGUAAAAACUCAAGAUUUUUAUCUACAGACACCAAUCUACUAUUUCUCGAAAUACAGAAGUUGUUCCGAAAGCCAAGCUGGACAAACGCUUAGGUUUCAACCUAGGAAAACAAGAAAAUAUUAGGAUUACACUUUUCACUCUGAUGACAUUUUACUUCUGGUUUCUCUCAGGUACACAAGGACUUACUCCAACAACUUCACAUUUGCCACUGUAAAAGUAAGUACUAGUGAUAAUCAAAAUAGAAGGAAGAUAAUAACACCAAGCAAAGAGUGAUUUUUUUGUUUUCUGUGUUCAUCUUUGAUACAGGGUGCAGGACACACAGCUCCAGAAUACAAGCCAAAGGAGUGCCUAGCAAUGGUCCAAAGGUGGUUUUCCAGUCUCCCUCUCUGAUGUCGGCGGAGACGAUGGCCGCAGAAGCGCCAUUUACAAACCUGGAUGUAGAAACUUAUACACAGCCUGGAUGUACACAGCUAGAAAUGAGAAUAUGAUACCACUAAAUUUUACAUUUGAGUUGGGUGUGAGCACCAACCAAUUGAAUGCUACACUUUUGCAGGUUCAGAUAGAAAUAAGUUCCUGUAUCUAUACAGUUUCAGGAAGCAGAAAAGAAAAAUAACCAUUACGGCAGCAGUUGGAUAACUUAUGCUUUUUACUUUAUCAAAAAGUUAAAAAAGUUGGCUGAUGAGUUCAGAAACUUGAGAUCAGCAUUGAGUUUAGAUAUUGUUUGGUAUUGUUAACAACAAAACUUUUUUUUUUUCCAACAGAUAUUGUUUCAGAUGAAAGGAUGGUGCAUUGCUCACAACCUCUGCAUCUCCUUUGGUUCAUUUGGCAACAAAAUCAAAAUGAAAAAUUAGUUACUUAUUGUUACCAGUUUUUAAGAUGGCAUUGCACAUCCCAUCGCAAACUAUCUAACAAUGACAUCACAAAUAACCGACCGUCCCUAGAGCAAGGGGCAAAGGACUCGAUGGUUGGUACCCGAGGCCCCAAAUUCGAAUUCUAGUUGAUUCACAUUUCCAGCUAAGUUUAUUUCUAAAUAAAAUAAACGAAGCGGGUAGCGUGCUACCUAUCUCUCAAAAAAACAAAAAAAAAAAAUGACACCACAAAUAAAUCUAUAUGUUGGCACAUCCUAUUGACACAAGGUUUGUGUUCAGAAACAGAUAAAACAAAGGCAACAAUAAUGAAUGAAAAGAACAUUUUUUUUAAAUAGGGGCCAAAUAUUUCAAAUGAAAAUUUUUCGAAAGAGAGAAAUAAUUAUCAAUAGUUAACAACUUACAAAUAAAUAUAUUUUUUCUUGCAGUCAAAGGACACAAAAAAAAAGGCCUAAAGUAUAAUAAUGAGCAACCAAAAAACACCUUCAGUGCAGUAUAAUUGACUAUACAGUAUAUAUGCUACAACAGACGCUGUGUGAAGCAGGGUAUGAGAAAGCACUUUUAUCAUUCUCAUUCUCUACAACUGCAAAGGAAACAACAGUUUAAACCCCGCGAUAAUCUACUUGUCAUGAGCUUCAUUCUUAGGAAGUAUGUCGUGCCUCCUUAAUCUGAAAUGAAGCCUUCUACCUGCAGAAAGAAAGGAAAAAAAAAAAAAAAAAGACUGAUUCAAUCAGCAUUCUGUAAUGAAAAGCUCCAGUAAUUAUAUUUUUGUUUGAUUGAUUAUAGAAAGUUGUAUGUUGAGUUGAAGAUGAAAUUUUUGAAAAAAAUAAGUUUUUAGUUUGGGACGAAAAAGAACCGAUAGGAGAGCUUACAAUGUAAAAGAAUGUGCAUUUAUUGAGCGAAGACUAUCAAGGAACUUAUGAAAGUAAAUUUUCAGAAAGAACAUACCUCGAGAAUUUCUUGAGAAGAAUUUCAAUAUCUCAUCGAUUAUUAUUACCUACAAUAUGUCCGCAUUAUGAUAAACAAGUGGUUAUGAACAACAAAAUUGAAAGGAAAAGUACACACGUUAUCUUUGACGAGCUUUUAGAAGAAUGCAAGAAAACUAAGACCUAAACUAAAAUCAUUUCCAUAUCAGCUAACUAUCAUAUCUGUGACAGCAUUUUUCGUGUCUGCCAGGAUAGAAAAGUUAGCUUUUUCGAAAUUGACUAGUAAGUAUAGUUUGGUCAGGUCUAGACCAGUGGGUUAACAUCUUUUGCAUUUUCAUGUGUUAAUUUUAGAAUUUAAUAAUAAAUUUAAUAUCCACCAUUGUGCAGUAAUAGCUAUUAAUAUUGCCGCCAGGAUUGCUCCUGAUAUAACUUACGAGUAGGGCAUUAAAUCAAAGUCUAAUGAGAGAGAAAUACUAACCGGAAAAGAGAGAUAGAGAACAAUCCUCCAUUCAGCCCAGGUUAAUGGUGUCACCUACAAGACAAUGAUUAUUACUUCGGAUUGGAAUAUUCUAUAAAUAUCUCUUAACGCCAAAUAGUUGUCUAAAGGACAGCUGCAGAAAAAGACGGAGGGUAACUUAACACUUUUGGUUCUCAACUACAAGAUGGAUGACACCUUGGCCCUCAAACUCUAAUUUGUAGAUAUUUCUAGCUUGGACUUACUAGAUUGUUGCAAUCGAGUCCGACAAUCCAAUUUAGUUGGUUGGAUACUAAUGUGCCGCUAAUGUGGCAGUAAUGUGGCAUUUUAGCCAUUGUCACGUCAUAGGCCACAACACAGCAACAUCAUAGCUACAUAAGUAACACAUCACCAUUUAGUACACCAACUUGUAUUGUGGGACUUAUUGCAUCAUCAAGUUAAAAAUUGCAACAAAUUAAAGCCUAAGGUCCAAAUUGUCACGUGACUCAAUAGUUUGAUGAUCAAAAGUGUAAUUUAGCCAAAUAAAAAAUGUUAAUAUAACUCAUGAACUAACACAGUUUGAAGGGUACUUACUGAGAAAAGAAUUGAUAAAGGUUCAAUAUACAAGAUCAAUACAUGGAGAAGCAUGGUGAGAAUUAUUGAUCCAACAAGCCAUAGGUUACUCCAUGGAGGAAUUACACUGAAAAUUAAAUCAUAUAGCAAAUUGUCACUUACAGUUCAUGGAUUUAGUGCAUAUAUGGAUGAGAUUAGGAUAUUUGCAUGAAUUUACUGUAAUCAAAACAGAAUAGUUAGUUCAGGAAGGUUGAUGCUUUCUAUGAAACCAUGGAAGCAUGAGAUCAAUUCAAGAAAUGUAUAAUGGAGGAUGUACGAACCAAUCAUAUAGUGCUUACAUGAUCAUUCUUUAAGAAAUUAAACUGGAAAAAGCCAAAAGAGUUUUUCUAAACAGUAGCAAUCCACCGCACAAACAGAAAAAGCAUAAAGAGUUUUUUUUUUCCUCAAUAGCUGCACCCACUGAUCAAUUGAUAGUAGAAAGAACUAUGAUAAAAGCACUCACUGCGUCCAAAUUUAUUCAUAAGAGUGUAUUUGAAAUGCAAGCAAGUGCAAGGGAGAUAUAGAUUGAUUACUUACAGGAGAGAUUGAUUCUCACUCAGGUUAUUUAAAGCAUUAAACAUCUCAACAACAACAAGCACGGUCAUCGACACAGUUGAGGGAUGACGAUCAUCAAAUAUACUGCAUGGAUAUGGAGUUUGUCUUGUUGAACAGGAAUCAAAGUUUACCUGACAUUCCAUAAAAUUCAAAAAAAGGGUAAAAUUUUCCUACAAGAUCAGUUAAAACUAAAAAUUAUACAAGAAGCCAACAUUAAAUUGAAAAUUAAACAAAGAUUUCAGUGAAUCUGCCAAAACAAAAAAAAAAAAAGAAAAAAAAAAAAAAGAAGGUUAAGCCAUAAAAGUUGAAACCAAGCAGUAAAUGAGCUAAAUGGCAUUGUUACUCAACUAUCAGACAGAGUUGUCCUAAUUACAAAUUUGUCGUUGUCUUUGUUAUUGACAGCAUGUGAAUAAACCAGAGGGGCACAAUUUACCAGUUCAUUAUACGGCAAUUUGGGACCAUCAUCAGAAUAAACAAACCACCAAACAAACCCCGCAAUAGUAGCAAGGCCAACAUAAGCUGUACAAUUGUACAAAUCAGUGACUAAGUGAUAUUUAAGAGGAAAUGAAAUAACUACUAACAUCUAAAAGUACACAACACGAGAACGUACCUCCUAUAACCAAAUACCGGAAAAAAAGCCAUCCAGUAACUACAGCUUCAUUAACCUGCAUAAGUAGUUAGAACACUUAAGAGCAACAAAUGAAGUAGUUUCUCCAGAACUAAAUGUCAAUGUUAUAUCUCCUCAAAGAUAUUGAUCCCAAGUUCACGAAUAUGGAGAACAUUUUAUAAGCAUACAACCUUUUGAAUGAAGCCUAUAGACUAGACCACUGGGAAGAUACUCGAGUACUAAAAAUUUAAUAUAAGCCAGCGCAGCUUUUUAUGACAUAAUAAUCUUCGAGGAAAAGAGGCUUAAGGUCAAGUGAUAAAUGAUUGCUUGAUUUGGAUUUGCCAAAUUUCUCUUUGACAUCAUGCUUCUCCAAUUUCAAAGUCAAACACUCGAUUAUUUUGCUUGGAUAACUUGUAGUCACUCAACAAUAUCAAGUCCAUGCUAUUCAGUACUUUUAUUUUCAUUCUUUCAUUCCGCUCCUUUACAAUUUAUAUUAUGAAGUUCAUGCCAGUGCUUAGCUAAGAACAAAGGGUCACCACCUGAAAAAAAACCAUAAUACUACAUUGCAAACUCUGAUAUGGCAUCAGGGUCCACAGAAUCAUAAACAUAAAACUAGGCCAUUCAGGGAUUUAACAGACUCUUCUUGUGUUUGAAAUGUUUUAACGUUCGAACUAUCACAAUAAUCUAUCAGUUAAUCACGUUGAGAAACGAGCAAGAGGUGAGAAGUUUGUUAAUUCACACAACUGCUUGGAUUUUGGACUUUAAAUAGUAACUCGGCAAAUCAAAAGUCAUCAUGCACCAGACUGAUGCAGUUCAGCUUCAAAGUAAUUGGCAACUGAAAACACUAAAGAAGGUUUUCAUAUGCUCAAUGUAGAAACAUUACAUUUUUUGUUCAAAUCCAUUAAUCAAUACCUUACGAGGCUUAGCUGCCAUCACAUUGCAAUCAGGCUUGUUAAAACCAAUAGCAGUUGCAGGCAAACCAUCAGUAACUAAAUUCACCCAGAGGAGCUGGACCUGCAAUUACAUCAAAUAUAAGUAAAAGUGAUUCUCGCACAAUGCUAAGAACUAAUCUGUCUAACUAAACUAAUUAUACUCAGAUGCUUUAGACAGGAAGAUGAGAAGAUGUCUCAGAGACCAUUUUUCAUUAGAGAUGAUAAGGAUGUAACAUUCCAUAACACUUCUAAGAGAAUAAAGAAUUUCUUUUUUAUAGCAAGGGCCAAGUUUGCCCUGGCUGGAGCUUUGGUGUUCAGUGGAGCUUCUCAAAGAAGCACUAACAGCUUGUUCAUUAAAAUGUAUCCCAAGAGUUUUCUGUUGCAGCAGAAGAAGAAGGCUCAACUUGGAGAUCCUCUUUGGAGGUCCAGAUGCUCAUUUCAGCUUCAGGCCAUAGAAAACAGCUAAACACACGAGAACUUCUUUAGAAAUACUACAGGAUGAAAUAAUUGGAUAUAAGGGUUUUUCCUUGGUGAUGAAGCUAGCGAUAGGGACAUAAAUGAAACUGUUGGCUAGCGAUAGGGGCAUAAAUGAAACUGUUGCUGAAGAAAGAGAGCAGUAAAGAGAAAAUUAUGCAAGUUGCUCAGACAUAUGAUUACAGCUAGAAAAGAGAAACUAGAAAUUGAAAAAGAAAAUUAGAAAUGUUUAAGAGCUUACAGGUAUUAGCGUGUCAGGCAUCCCAAGCACUGCUGCCACAAAAAUACAAACUACUUCUCCAAUAUUCGACGAUAUCAUAUAGCGGAUAAACUGCUUAGUAUUAUUAUAUAUAGCUCUUCCCUCGGCAACAGCCUAUAGUCAAAUGGUAGCCAGUCGCCACAAAAAAGUUCAGAAGAGACAUAUUUCACAAGAUCAAAUGGUAGCUAGUAUCUAAGUUUGAUAAAAGGCAGCCAUUCAGAGAUCGGAAAAAAGCAGCUUACAGCAACAAUUGAAGCGAAGUUGUCGUCAGCCAAAACCAUAUCCGAAGCACUCUAGAAAUUUAGAAGAAAACUGAUUAUUAUGUUCAAUAGGAGGCAUUGUCUAUUACAUCCUCACAAACCCAAGACCCAAUUGAAAGCAUACACCAAAGGUAAAGGACUAAAUGCAGAAAACACCCCUGGCAAUAGCCCCCUCAAUAUUUGGACAAUUACUAGUGAAGACUUAAAAAUGAUAUUUCCACCAUAAUGGGGUGCAAUGGGCAUUUCAGAUCCUAUUUUAAAAGUACCUAACAGUUCCUAAACAAAACAUGUAAGAGAGGGUAAGUGCUAAAGGCUAAACACUUAAGAGGCCUAAUUAUAGAUUUUUGCAUUUCAUGAAGGAAAAAGUACAAAUGGCACUAUUUUCAGGGCAGUUUUCUGCAAUUUAACCUAUAAAAUAGAGAAUGAAUUAAGUGGAACCAGAAUCUAAAAUAAAAAUAGUUUCCAUAACAUGAAAUCACAUUCACAUUUGAGAUGUAUAACGAGACUAAUGAUCUACUUAAUAUUACUACAAAGUAAUGCCAAAUAACAAGAUAAAGUUUAUCAAUCUACAUUGUCUAUAGGUGAGUACUGAACAAGAAGCAACAAACUGAACUAGACAUGCUAAUAUGAAGCAUACAUACCUUAGCAACUGCAGUUCCAGAUCCCAUUGCUAUUCCUAUGUCUGCUUUCUUCAGUGCAGGUGCAUCAUUGACACCAUCACCAGUCAUUGCAACCUUUUACAUGAAGAGCAUAUACGUCAUUAUCUAACAACCAGUCUCAUAGAAAGCACUAAGAGCUCAACGGCUGCAUAACUUUUUUAAAAAUAGUAGAAACAUUGGCAGCGCAGAGAAAUAGUAAAAAUUGCAUUGAUAGCCCCUAUUCUCUUGGCUUUAUUUAAUUGCAUCGAUACUUCCUAAACUCUUUGCUAAUUUCCGCUUGUCCUAAGCCUUUUAAUUAACCAGUCCCCAAACCUAUGUGUUUCAUUAGAAUCCUCCCAAUCAACUUCUAUUAGUGGGACUGACUGGAAAACCAACGCUGCAACCAAUCCUGUGACAAUGCGAAAUUGAGAGUCCUCUUUCAACAUUGAAGAGUAAAACUAGAAGCAAAAUAGUCUGUUUGAGGCUCAUUCUCAAAUUUCGAGAAAGGUCUAAAGGAUACAAGUGGCAAGCAGUCAGUCACACUAGAGAAGAGUUGACAAGAUGGACAAUAACGAAACAUUUACGUAAGUUGGGGGAAUAUAAUGCAUAAAUAAAGAUCAAGAACUAAAGUGAGACUUCACAAUGAGUUCAGACACCAGUAUGUUAUUUAACCAUGGAAACAGAUUGGUUAUUCAGAGUUAAAGAAAUCCAAAUUUUGAGAUCUGAAGUUCAAAGUACGUCUAAUUAUUCAUUCUAAACAGGCAACUAACAAAAAAAGCUCUCAUCCCAAAAUAUUCCAAUCAGCUUAAUGAAAAUAUUUCUAGAGAACCAAUUAGUCUGCAGAUGCAUCAAUGCAAGCGAUAAACCCAACUCAAAGAGGCUUACCACUUCAUUUUGAUUUUGCAAAGCUUCGACCAGCAUCUUCUUGUGGGAAGGUUCAACCCUGUCAUCCAAUUAUAUCAUCUUGAGCAAGAACAAUUUUAUGUGAAGGUUUCUGAAGUUACCCAAAAAAAAUUUAAAAAAAAACAUGUAAUUGAUUCCACUUGAUAAACUAUGCAGCUGAAGAUAAACCAUAUAUGACGACUGAACUCGCAGAACAAAAAAAUAACCCACUAGCAAAGGAUAGAAAAUGCUUGGCAGAUCAUUUCUAUGAUCAUUUCUAUGUACAGUUCUGAUAUUUUUAGAAACAACAUUACAAGGUGAAGGUCCAAUAUCAAGCAGUUCUUAUGAAAGCCAAAAAAACAAGAGGAAAGCACAUGAAUGAACAAAAAAUAGAGGAAGUCUUUGGUAUAAGAAUGUACAUUUGAUAGAUUCCAUACUGCUGUGUAGGGAAAACAGGACUGAACUGAAAUUUUCAGCUUUCAAAUAUUUGGAACUGAAUAAACAGAAUAACACUCAAAAACAAUCCAAUGCAAACUGAAAUAUUUAGAUUCCAUUCGAUCAGUUCAACCAAUUUGGACCUAUUCAUUGUAAGGCUUGCUGCCAAAAAUUCUGAUGGAUUUUAACAGUUAAAUUUUCAUACUUAUGGCCAUAUUUGAGUAUAAUAUUCAUUAGAUUGGUAUUCAACAGCUAUUAUUAUGGCUAAUAGUUUUAUAUAUAGCAACACUAUUGUUCACGAUAUUGGUAAAGCUUAGAAUCUAGUAAAAAUGAAAACACGGAUUCACUUUAUUCCAUUUAUUUUUAUUCACUAUGGUGCUUUCCCAAACCUAAUAGUUGAAUCUUACUUUUGACUUUCCUCGCAAGAAAAAAUGCUUCAACUUUACCAAACCAAUUCUCACUGGUUCAUUUUAGCAAUUAGGUUGAUUAAAUAAUGAUUACUUCAUCCCAAAUCAAUUUCAGUAAUUGCUUAUGAGGUUAUUUGAAAAGCACAACAACCUGAACAAAGAAGAGAACUUAAUUACUGAUUCCAAGAAUAACCAUAAACUUAAGAUAUGAUAGACAAUUAGUGAACUUUUCAGAAAAGAAAGAACAAAUGAUAUUUUGGAGGUUACGAUGGUAUAAAGACAUCGUAUUUCGAAAAAAGAUGAAGAGUUUGGCACAUAUGCAUGAAAUGUUUAUGCUACCUGGUAAACAGUUCCAUCCUUUGCAAUGCAAUUGUCCGUUGCAUAGGUGGAAGUUGUUCAAACUCAGAAGCUGUGUAAGAAUACCCAGUAAAAUCAUCUAAGUGCUCGAAAGCACCAAUCUGUCGACAUAGAGAUUCUGCAGUAGACUACUAUAACACUAAAUUAGUAUUUUCCAGUAGAAAAUUAGUAUUACAAUGCUAAUAAAUAAUAAGGAAGAUUAAGGAGUCAGUAACCUUGUUAUCCCCAGUGACAACAAUAACACGUAUUCCAGCAGCCAUACAUGACAGCAUAGCAUUCCGCACUUCCUCCCUCGGAGGAUCAAGCAUACCAACCUACAGAAAUUUAUUUAUCACAAAAGAAAAAAAAAAUGUUGGAGAACUUCAUCAAUAGAACUUAAUCAAUCAUAAUGAAAGAAAGUUAUUAAAAGAUAAAAAGAUGUCAAGGAAAAUUAAAGUGGGGGGCAAAAACUAUUCAAAGGGUGAGCACAGAUACACGUGAGUGGCAUAAGAUAGGAAGCAUACCAAUCCAAUGAACGUAAGAUUUGAUUCAUCUUCAUAGGAAAGAGUUUGCUGACCCGUUGGCAUCCGCUUUAGUGCUAAUGCCAAACAUCUUAGGGUGUCUUUUCCAGCAAAACUGGACAUAAAAUGGCAUUUAUCAAAUUACAAAAUAAGAAAAUUUAACAUAUGAUUGUGACACGUGUAGACAGCUAUGAAAAGUAGAAAAAUAAGCAAUAUACUCAAGAGAACAAAUUAAAAUUUCACUUCAAGAUGACUUUAGCUCAAUUUAAAUCUUUGCAUCCUCUUAUUUUUCCGGAUCUUGUGCUUUUGCUUCCCAGGUGAUAUUUUCUAGGGUAUAGUCAUUCACAAUUCAAACUGGCAAGGAAGAGGUGAAUAUACGAACUUGUUAGUGAUGACUUCUUAAACCUUCAUGGUUUUAGCUUUAGAGCUCUGCCAACACCUUUGAAACCACAAGCAUCUUACUAUAAGUAACUAUCUACGUAAAAUAAGAGUUCUACACGAAUCCUCACAAGAGGAAUUUAACCGUAGAGAACACAUGAUUUUAGGUCUUUCCCAGACAUUUGCUAAAACUAGAACAUAAGAGUCGAUAUUGUGCAUAUAUUGAUUGUUUACACAUUUCAAACUCUUUUAAGUGUCAAGAUGCAGACUCGUCAUGAAAGUGAUGAAAGCAUGACCUUAGGAAAGAGAGAGUGUAUGACACCUUAUCCAGAAGCCCAUUUUGUACAGGUCAAUAGGUGGGAAUUAUGUAUAUACUAUAUAACCACAAGGUAGGUCUUGAAGCUUUUAUAAGAACCAAUGCCAAAUCUCAGAAGUUUUGAUAUUUUAGCAUUAUGAAUCAAGAAAAGAUGAUAAUAGAAACAGCCCAACAGAAGAUGUCUUCAGAGCAAAAACCAUAAAUAACCAAGCUAAGCUCUAAAAUUUUGCAUUAAGGUAAAAUGUUACUUAUGAUAUUGAGACCUUAUUCACACUAACUAGUUAAAAUUAGAAAUGAGAGAUUUCCACCACAAGUCCAUUAAACUGAACCUUUCAAUUAAAGAAUUCUGUAUCCAGGUUACAUCAGAAAAAUUAAUGGAUUUCAAGUCAACGACCCUCAAUAAUAUAACGUGGGGCACAACCAGCAUAUUUACAAAAAAAUAAAGAGAUUCCAGAAAGUACAAGAUACAAAGAAUACCAACAAUGGAUAGUAAUACUAGUCUCAUGGGACCCGUAGCAAACCAGUGCACUAAGAUACAGGAGAGAAAAUACAGAAAUUUUAUAAAAAAAGUCUAUAAAAAGUGUUAGGGACAAAAAUGAACUACAGGACCAUAAAAAACCUAACCUAAAAUCAGAAUAACAGAAAAAAUAAGAUCCAACUAAAAGCAACAUAAAACAAGGCAAUCUACUGUCAAACUAAACUAACAAAGCAUAAACAGAAAUGUCUAAGGUCUUCGAAAAGGAAAUUACAGAAUUUAAAAUGCUAUAUUUGUGUAUGAAAAAGCAGAUGAUAAGCAUACCUUUGGAAUCUAGCUUCUAACUCAUUACGGAUAUCGGUAGUUAAUGGUACAGAAGAACCAUCAUCAUUGCACAGGAUAUGCGAGCACCUUAUUAUUAUGCUUUCUGGAGCACCUUUUGAGAACAUAAUUUCUUGCUGCUUUCUACUACAAAGGACACUCAUCAUUUUGCGGUCACGGGAAAACUCCAAAACAGAAAUCUGUUGAAAAAAUAUAAAAAAAGAUAACAGAUGAGUGAUUUUUGUUAAAAGAAAAUUACGUUCCACAAAAAGUAAUGAGAAAAACAACAUAUUUAGAAGAACUUGUCAGCAACAUGUACAAGGAUGACCACUAAUGACUUGCAACUUGCAAGUUUGCAGCUAAUAUAUUUCAUCUCAUGUUUAUCUAAAAGACGGCCAGUUUUGAGAAACCUCGGUUAAAACAAAAACGACAAAAGGCAGCUGUGAAGCUAUUUAUCACAAUAACUACAAGAGAUUUAACCGACAGAGAUUAAUGAACUAAUUUUAAGAUAGUUCGGCCUCUUUGUGAAACCUUUAACUAGACAAAAUAAUAAUAGUUUAAAGCAUAUGUGUAACUUAGCAGCUAAAAAACAGCGCCAUGCAAGAUGCUCAAAGAAUAAGUUAAAUAUGAUAACUAAGCGCUAAAUAUAUUUUGGAAUCCAAUGUCACGAUAUAAAAAUAACCUUUUUGAACUGAUGCUCCCAAUAAUGGUUGCAAUAUGCCGCGCGUUCAUGCUUACUUAACAUGUUUAGAGCCGAAGGCAUAGAAUCAAAACCAGGAAGCCCAACCUGAUAAAAAAAAAGAUUAUUGAAAUAUCUGAGCUCAAUAAUUCUAAGUGAAAUGGUACAGAUUGCAAUAAGAGUUGAUCAUCUCGUUUGUCAACUUACCUUUUCCACCAGAACACGUAAAGCAACUUCAGUAGACUCCCCAAUCUUUUCAUAAGCUUUCUUAUCAGGAUUGUAUUGUAGUGUGGACUCAUUACAAAGAGCUGAACACAUUGCUAUGUGAAGAAGGCACGGAAAUUGGGCAGGAAAUUCGAGCUGCGAAAUGCCAAAAUAUUUUUUUAAAUAAAAUUAAAAAUAGCAUAGCUUAGGAAAACACAGCUUCACAUUCUUGAACGGAAUUGGUCAGAAAUAACAGGGUAAUAACUAUUUAACGACUUACGACUCAUCAGUGUUUCAAAGCAAACAGGACAACAUCUUACCCCAAAGAAAAAAAGCUAACAUGAUGGAAAAAACUGCAUUUACAUCCGGAUUAUUUAAAAAAGCAACAUUAUUAAUUGAUUACCUGCAUUCCUGUAGCAUCAAAUAUAAGUCCCUCGGGAGAAAACGUAGUUCCAGUAACAGAGUACUCAUCAGUGAUUGGACUUCGAUGCACAGAUCGGACGACACAGACCUAGAAAAUCUAAGAAAGUUAUUUGUCACAAGCCACGAAUGGGAUCAGACACUUUAUAAAAGUAUUCGAUAUUGUAAUUACCAAUUAACUUGUAAUGUUAACCAGAUAACAGCAAUUAUAUAAACUUAUUGUAAGAGGACAUAACACAGACCAGACAAGGUUUAAAAAUUCAAUGGACACAGAGCAGCUAAGGUUCAACAUUUCAACAAGGCUUUAAAUAUAAUAAGACUAAUACAUCAAGAGAGAUUCAAAAAUUUCUUGAAACAUUAAGUACCUCACACUGCAUGAACAUGCAUUUAAUGCGUACGGCUAUUGGAAUGAAAUACCUUUGCCUCACAGUUCCUCAUAUUCAUAUUAUCAAAACAUAACUAUACUUUCAAAGCACGUGACCCAAAAGAAAAAGGGAACAAACCAUGGUUGAGAAGACUUUGAAUGACUUCUCAUGAACCUAUUACAUUUUGGAUCAAGAAUAUUUUGACAAAGAGUAAUGCUAUACUUACAAAAAAAUUGUACAACGUUUUACAAAUUUGCUUAUGUGGCCCUAUUUAAUUGGUAAAAGAAUAUCAUUCACGAGGUGAUUGUUGUAAUUCACAAGGCAAAGAAUAAAAUCUAACCACUAAAUCUUAAAUUUUGUAAAUUGUUGUAGAAGUUGUUUGUAAGAAUAGUAUUUUCCUUUGACAAAGCACAUCAAUGAUAACUUUUAAGACCACUGAUUUUGAAUCUUCAUAGGGUAUUAGCUUAUAGCCUUUUGUUGAUUAAUGAUGCUUCCAUGUUAGUUAAUCACCUGGGUCAAUUGAUUCUUCGAUUUUGCUCCACACUUUUAUGACUUCACAAGAACCUGCUAAUCUUGGACCAAGAAAAUUUUGACGAUGCACGGCAAUGCUUAAUCUUAAGAUCACUUGAUUUUGAAUCUUCAUACUCUUUAUAGCUUUAUGUUGCUUAAUGAACCUUCUAUAUUAAUUAAUCUUCGGUGAGAUUUUCUUUUUAUAUCAAUAACUCCCUCGAAUUUUCAUUAGAGUAUUCUGGUUGAACUUUUAAUGCUUCCUAUGAAAAAUAAUCACACAUUGAUACUUUUUUCCUGCUACAUUAAUAAUCUGUUUCACAAAUGAUGUGACACAGACUAGGUAAAAAGGGUCCUCCACUACAUGCCAACUUAUGAAUGUAUCAACCACAUAGAACUAAGAUAACAGAGUAUAAUAAAUUAGUAAAUUUAACAAAUUUUCAUCUACAAUAAUGUCAUUAUGGAAAUCUCACAAUAGGUGGGAAGAAACAAAAAUUGCUAACACAGGAUGAAGUGACUGCAUUGCAAGGAAAAGAAAGAAAGUAAACAAUCAAAAUUUCAAAAUUGAAAACACAUAUUUUGGAGCUACAGGAAUAUAUUUAAAAUUCACAAAAGAUGAUAAUGAAGUUUCAAACGGAAUUAAAUUUCAUGCUACAGAAUCUGCUUUGGCACGAUAAGGAUAAAAGAAAAUAUAUCAGCAAAACUUAACCUAUACAACAUCCAAAAUAAAGUAUUCACCUUUGACACGGACAUCAUGUUUGUUGUAAGAGUACCGGUCUUGUCGCUACAAAUAACCGUUGUGCAUCCUAAAGUCUCGACUGAAGGUAAAGACCUUACAAUAGCAUUUAGGCGAGCCAUUCUCUUCGUACCCAGUGCCAGGCACCUAAUCAAAAACCAAAUAAAUCAUAGUUAGGUAAAGUAAAAUGUAUGUGUAAUGAAACUGUCAUACAAGCAUAAUGAGAUCAAAAGAGUACAAUUAGCUUAAUAAACCUACUCCCAAACUGUUAAUCUCUUGAUUUAGUAUAAUGUAAUCUUGAAGUUUGCUGGCCUAGAGAAAACACAAAGAAUUUGAAAUAAUUGCUAUAAAUGUUUUAAACAUUCAUUCUAGGGUGAAAAAUGAGGUUUUGGCACCUCAGUAUCAAACUCUCACAUGAUCCCUUCAGGACAUCAAAAAGAAAUAACAGGUAGAACUCCCCCAGGAAGAAUCUAGGUUCCCAUAGCAGUUGUUAAAAGAUCAAAAUCUAACUGGUUUUCGGCCAUCAGUCAUUAUGAAGUGAAUUAUUGCCGCUACAUUACAAGGAAUAACACUACUAGAUGCCCUUGAUGUGUGGAUUCAACUUGAAAGAAUCCUAAGAGGUGAUUCUGGCUUACAUGAAUGCUUUUAUAUACACAUUCAAUGAGAAUCGCCAAAUCAAUAAUUAUCUAUAAUGAAGCUCCAGUUUUAUCAUUGAAAGAUAAGAAAGAACAAAGUUGAUGCCGAGAUUCCUCACCUGCAUAUAAGAGACCAAAUUACUAAUUUCCUAUUUCAUCAGCUUUCAAACAGAAAGGGUUUUUGGUUGCAUAAUAAGAGAAAGAACCCUAUAUAAACAGGAGGUUCUACCUUAAAUUAAAUGAAAUGAUUUGUACAUUAUGUGUUAGAUAAAUAAUCAUCACAAUUAUACUCAUUACAAUUACCAACAUCUAUCCCCAAAAUUCACUUAAAUUAUUUUUUCUUGAAACUUCAGUACAGCAUGUUUUGACAAGAGGACUCACGUAGUCACAACAGCCGGAAGCCCUUCAGGAAUGGCAGCAACUGCAAGAGCAACGGCUAUCUAAAAGACAGGAAACAGUUUAAGUAACUAACAGGCACAAACACAGUCAGAAGAAGGGAAAGGGGGAAGAAAGGUGCAUUAUUCGAAAGAAAUUAGCAAACAGUUUGUAAAAGAGAAAAACCCAAAAUUCACAAAUGAACAAAACAAGAAGCAUCAAAUAAUUACAAAAUAAUGCACAAUCAACUAUGCAGAUUAUAUAACUAAAAAACAAAAAAAUCCAACACUUGAAAUUUUCCCUUUCUCAUAGAAUCUACUAUCGCCACAGCAUAAACAUCCUACGAGGCAUUAUUAAAUAACAGAAUAUGUAGACAAUAUAGGUUACUGAAUAAGUAGCUUGCAAUGAAGUUUUUCCUUUGUCGCCGGUUAGCUACAUUACAACAAUAAUUACUAUCUAUUAACUUCCGAGGCUGAGAGAAGGGAAACAGAAAACAAAGAAAGUUUCCAUGUCAGGACCAUCAAAGGACCAAGUACUGCACAGCAUAUUCUGUGCACAACAACAUUAGGCUGUACUCUUUUAUCCAAAGUGUUACAACGUUAAUACUAGUAUAAAUCCACAUGAAAUGCACUACAACUAAUUGUAUGAUAUUCCAGUUGACAACCCAAUAUGACAGAUCAGCUAUUCAGAAUGUAGCACAACCUAACAACAAUAAAGAGCUUCUUGAAAAAGGAAUUUUUCAUACUUGCAUUCUUAUGUACUGCAUCAAUAAAAAAAAAGCCUAAGAUGAAGUUACAUAUUUAUCGAAUUAAACAUAAUACAUGAUAGUUCCAAGGAAAUGUACAUCACUCUCAUUAGUAUAACAAUAGUAGUAUGGAAAUGGUAGCAAAAACGAUGAAAAAACACCUUGAAGUAAUGAAUAGCACCCCUCAAAUAUCCACCAUGAGAAGGAUCGUGGAAAUGGCCAAUAUUUACAACCCAAACAAGAAUACAAAUCCCUGCAAUGAUCUGACAAAGCGUAUGUCAGCUUUUCAUUAGCCUUCAAUGACAAUUAGGAUUAUGACACAUUAAUAUUAAGAAAUAUUCACACUACUUCGGUAUAAACACCUGCAAUUUGAAUGGGCACAUUUAAACACCCAUGUCCAAAGAGCAAUUUAUAUAAAAACAUGAAAUAUAGCACUUUGAUUUCCCAGAUUACUAUCCAGAGGUGCAUGAUAACAAACUAGAGGCAGUUGAGUUCUCAUGUAAGGUGGUCUUGACUCUUGAACAAUUAUUCAGUUCCUCGGUGCACUUUUGGCAACUGUGAUUUUUCACAUACUAGCACUUAAAUGAUAAAAAAACGUAGUAUAGUAGUUUAAGUGAUAAUUGAUAAAUGACAAAGAAUCAUAGGAAGCUACCUUCGCCAAAAAAGUACCAAAUUCAUCAAGUUUCUUCUUUAAAGGUGUUGCCUCCUGCAUAAUCGUAAGAAUAUUAUCAGCAGAAAGAAUCGUUACUAUCAAGUAUCAACAUAUAUAACAAUGCUGUGAGCAUGCAUACUGCAGAACCUUUAAAAUUAAAUGACAAGAUGAUACUCGAAAAUAUACAAGAAUAGAACUAGAAAAGAAAUACCAAGCAACAAAAAUCACAAAAUCUGACAAUUAAAACAAAGAGGCAAACUUAAGAGAACAGACGGUUCUUACAUCUUCCGUUCUUAACAUUGCAUCUCGAAUGCUUCCCAUUGCAGUAUUCGAGCCCACACCAACAACAAUGGCUCUAGCCCGACCAGCUACAACCACAGUACCCUGGAUAAUAAAAGUUUCAUAUCGUCACCGUAUAAGAUGAAACAAUCCAAAAGAAAUGAUUUGGGAGCUAAAGCACAAAUGCAUCUGAAAACUAGAUAAUAAUUUUUUUUAUGUGAAAGUAAUGAAUAGAUAAUUUGUGUUUCAGAUAAAAGAUAAAAUGCACUUUUUUCUGCCAAGUGAACCAUAAGUUGUAUUUUCUGAUAUAGCAACUUGACAAAGAGUAGGAAAGGAAAAAGAAACAUGUAUCACAGUGUCCUAUAAAUUCUCCUCUAAUUUUUUUUUGCUUAUUUCCCACCAACUUAAAAGGACUAAAAGCAUGUUAAAAAUGAACGAAGCUCUUUGCAGCAAAAAUAAGGUUCGUUCAUUGCCAAACCUUACUUCUUUCCAGUCCUACAUAGGAGAAUUCAUGAAUUGAAGAAAACCUGUAUCUUUCUCACUAACUUGUAUCCCAGCCAUUAAAUGUGCUUUCUCUGAGUCAUAUGAACUUUUGCUUGUGAACAAUCAUUUCUGUAAAGAAGUUAGGCUAAAUCCCACAGAUCAUUAAAAUAAUAACUAGACUUCUCACAAACAAUAGUCUUUCUACUUUACUGUAAAUUUUUAUUGGCUUCAGGUUUUCCUUUUCAACUGGCUUGCCUCUAUGUUAUUUUACUUAAAAAGUAAUAUCCAUAAAAUCCAUAAAACAAAAGAUAAUGCAAAUAAAAUAUUUCUAUAAGCAAUCAUGAAAACCAACAAAACAGAGAAGAACAUAAAAGUACAAGUUUAAGAGUCUUCUAAGCAUUCAGAGUGAACAGGAAAUAAUAGGUUAUGAUUUUAGUAAACAAUGCUCACAGUUCAUGUCUUGUCCCUAGGGGUGGAAACGAGCCGAGCUCGAGCGAGCUUAUGUCGGCUCAAAUUCGGCUUGAAAUUAAUUUCGAGCCUAAAUCUAGGCUCAAGCUCGGCUUGAAAUUAAUUCGAGCCGAGCUCGAGCGAGCCUAAUUUUGGUCGAGCGAGCUCGAGCUCUAAACGAGCCGAUUGAAAUUCUCGACAUUAUAUAAUCAAUAGUUUAAUUUUUUAUAGAACAUUACGUACCAAUUUGAUGCAACAUGUCCAAUAGUUCAAAAUACAAAAUAAUUGCAAGAAAUAUGAGCUAGGGUGACUGCCUGACCGGUGAGGGUCAAAGAGAGAGAGAGAAGAGAGAGGAGAAAAAAAUAGGAAUUGUAAAAUUUGAAUGUUAUCAUGUUUAGGUUAUGUACAAAAGUGAAAGUCUGAAAGAGAGAGUGUGUUAUGUAAAUUUAGAAUUGGGUUCAAUUGCACCGGUUGUACUUGUUGGGUUUAUUUUAUGGCCAACAAUAAUAGCCAAUUAAUUAAAGCCUAUAUAUAAUUAAAAUACAUUAUAUAUAUAUAUAUAUAUAUAGUAUAUAUAUAUAGUAGGGCUACUGUGCUAUUAGGAGCACAGCAGUCCUUGUGCUCUAAGUUCUUAACCGCCCAUCAAAUUUGAUGGGUGGUUAGAGUGAAAGAGAGAAGAGAAAUUGAGAGAAAUUGAGUUUCUCAAUUUCUCUUCUCUUUGAAUUUCCUUCAAUUUCUCUUCGCUCUUUCACCCCUAACCAUCAAUCAAAUUUUGAUGGACGGUUAAGAACUUAGGAGCACAAGGUUUGCUGUGCUCCUAAUAGCACAAUAGCCCUACUAUAUAUAUAUAUAUAUAUAUAUAUACUAAUUAUGUAUAUACUAUAUAGUACUAUAUAUAUAUAUAUAUAUUCGAGCUUUUCGAGCUUUUCGAGCCUAAUUCGAACGAGCCGAGUAAUACUCAAGCUCGGCUUGAAAUGAAUUUCGAGCCUUUUAUUUUGUUCAAGCUCGGCUCAUUUAAUUUCGAGUCGAGCUCGAGCGAGCCGAAUAUCGAGCCGAACACGAGUCGAACGCGAGCCGGCUCGCUCGUUUGCCAGCCCUACUUGUCCCUUUAAGAGAUAAAUUUCCAAUGUAACAUAUUUUCAUAAUUGCACUGUAUGUAAUAGAUGAACAAGUGAAAACGAUCACUAAGAAUCCUAAAAUAAAAGAUGUCAAAGUAAUAAUCUUACUGAAAAAAGAAUAUUCGUCUUAUCCUGAUAGACCGCAUUGGUUGCUGAAGUUGAUUUGAGCUCUUUUGCUACAGAGCAGCUCUCACCUAAUUAAGAAAAGGUCAAAACUCUUAAGAAUAAGCAACUUCAUAGAACUCAUCAGAUAAGUUAGAAAAAACAUUGAAUAAUGAGAAAAAGAGCUGUGAAAGCCAGAAACAGCUGAUCCUCUGCAUGAUCCUUUUCACUAAGUCUGGUUGCAUAGAACCAUCAACAUCUCUGAAAAAGUAGGAUGAAAACUGGUGGAAACCAAAGGGACUCACAUGGUAUACAGGUUUUUCAACAAAUAUUAAUAUUUAUAUAUCGAUUUACUACCCUUUUAGAUAGGAAGUACAUUAAAAAGUGAAUGGAGACUAGAUUGGCAGUUCAGCUAUUUAUGGAACUAGGACAACUUUUCUAUAAAUAAAAGCAGUUAUGGAUGAGGACACAAAAUUCAGUAGCACAAAAGUUAAAGGAAAACACCGCAUACCAGUAAGAAUUGCCUGGUCAACACGUAGUUGGUUACUUAGCAUUUCGACCAUUCUCAUGUCAGCUGGGACCUUGCAACCAACUAAUCAAAAGAAAAAAGAAGAAUUUAUAAGUACAGGACAGACUCUUACUAUCCAUCCCUAAAAUUUGUCAUCUCUCUUUGUGCAGUGUAUCAUACCCCCAACUUCUACAAUAUCUCCAGGGACAAGCUCCGUGGCAGGAAGUAUAGAAAAGCAACCUGCAAAGAUUAUUAGAUCUAAAGUCAAACAUUAUUCAAUGAUUUUCCUAGAAAAUAGGUAUGUUGAAAACUUCAUAUAAAGGAACAUGUGCAUAAUAAUCGACAGCAUGAUUAAAUUAUGAAGAUUCGACCACUGCAACUUAUAUUACCAUUUCGUAGCACAGUUGCAACAUCAGCUUGGUAUGCCCGCAACUCCUAGAAAAGUUAUUAAUCCAAAAAACAUGAUAUAUAGCCAGUAAAGAUUGAGAAAAUUAGUAAUGAGAACUAGGAAGGAAAAAAAAAAAAAGAAACUUAAAGUCCGCGAGAUUGAUGCACUUAGCACACGCUAACAGUAGCAGAUAGCGCAUAAGCCUGUGAGCAAAAACAUGAUAUAUCCAAUUUAACAGAUCUAUAUUGAGAAGGAGAAGAUUCAAAUGUGUGCACAUAAGCGAUGAACUCAAUAUAAGUAAAACAACAAGAUAUUUCAAGUAUCAGAUACAAAGAAUUAGAAAAAGAGAGAAAAAUGUUGAGAUGGUAAUGAUUAUAGACAAGCUUUUAAACAGGCCAAAAGAAGUCUAUAAGCAAGGUGGCAUCUGUGCGAAAAUGUUCAUUUAACAUUACAUUACACAUAAUUAUUCAGCAUCUGACCCUCCAAUAUGCAUAGUAUAGGCACAAUUGAUAAGGACUAGUAGAUGCCAAAGACCUUGAAUCUCUUUCAGAAUCUGCAGUACUGAAAGGACAAUAUUUGUGUUUUAUCACUUCUUCAAGCAAAAUUGUUCAUGUCUUCUCCUCCACCCUAUUGCCAUCACGAAUUCCCUCCCAUAUUGAGCACCACACUUUUGAACUCCCUGUUUAGAUAUUGUGAGACAAGGGUUCAUUUGGCUCUUUUGUUAACAUUUGCCUCAUCGAUGAAAUCAACUCCUCUUAAAAAGUAAUCUGUAGUUUUUGCGAUUCUUUCAUCUGAAGAAACUUUCAGGGGGAUGCCCGUGUUUGCAUGAGCUGGUGAGCUAAAACUUCGAUCAAUGCCCAUCAGCCUACUUGCCUUAUGUUAAUGUUAAGCAUCCUCUCUCAUGAGAUUUUCCCUUCUUUCACGAUAUGUCAAGCCUCUCUUCACCAUCAAUGUAACGUCCUUUCAUGAUACUACUCCUAAAUUGUUGACAAAUUUUGCAGCGUCUUCUACCUCCUAAGACAGUGUAUUUCCAAUUUUGACGCCAGAAACAUCUCUACAUCUAUACUACAAGGAGGAAUCACACCCAAGGACAUACUUCAAAAGUUGCAUAUGCGGUAUUUGAAAAAAAAUUAAUGCCCGAUACAGGAAACAAGAUAUACAUUGACAGAAUAAAAUGUAGAGCAUUAUAUAAUGAACUAAUAAUGGUACUUCAGUUACCUGAAGUGCUUUUUCAGCAUUUGUUUCAGUUAUUACACCUACUGCUGCAUUGGCUGCCAGUAUCAAAAAGAUGACCUGAAAUGUUUCAGAGCUUUUUGAAAACAUGAUACAGUAGAAACAUGUAGUCAUUAGCAGUAGAGAAGAUAAACUAGAUAACAAGCAAAUCAAUAACUAAUGACAAUCUACAACUAAUAACUAUACACUAAAGUACGUGGAUUUCAGGGUUUCUGAGCGAGCCACGUCUACAACUAAGUUGUGAGCCGAUGGGAGCUUGCAACAUGUCCAAUGAAAUUUUGCACGCACCCUGUGCACUGUAGACCUACUCUUUAAUAUGCAUAAAAGAUAAAUUUCAGUAGUACAAUAAAGUAUUUAAAUAUUAUAUAUUACAUGUAUUAAUAUUAGGCUAAAUUACAGAAAACUACCCUGUAAAUACUUGCAUUUUCACUUUCCCUCCAUGACAUUCAAAAACCUACAUUUUGCCCCCGUAAAAUUUUAGAAAUAUUUUCAGGGGGGUACAGCAUUAAUGGAGAGGGCAAAAUAACCAAAUUACACUUCUUCUAUAAGAAAAAAAAAUAAUUUUUUAAUAUAUUUCUAUCAUUUUGAAGGGCAUUUUCGAUAUAAAUUAUAAAAAAUGGACGGAAUAGUUUUGGAACCCUGACGGAGGGGGGCUAAAUACGACAACUUAAAAUGUUGAGUGGGUAAAAUAUAGGUUUUUGAAAAUUACGGAGGGAAAGUGAAAAAACGGGUAUUUAAGGGGAUUUUCCAUAAUUUAGCCUUAAUAUUAUAUAUUUUAAAUUACUAAUUACUAGAUAUUCCUUCCUUUGCAAGCAAAUUGCUUGGACGGUCCACGAAUGAUAUGAUGGACUAAGUUCAACCAAUAAUCACCCUCAUCCCAACAAAGGGUAGUGGAGGUAAGAGAGAACAUGUUGUUUGGGCCUAAUGCACCACCUCAUCUUAGACCAUUUUAACCUUCUUUACUUUAUUGAUUUCAAUUUCGAAUCUUAACCAUCCAUUUAUCUGAAGCAUUUAACGAUUACAUUUUUAAACAGGUGAAUAUUAAAAAAAAUAAAAUGACUAGAGAUAAGGUCUAUGUUCUACAAGUGAUGUCGUGGACCGGGUCCAGAUAAUUGUAAUAUCGAGAUUCUCAAGUUAUAAAAAGUGAAGACCCCCUCAACUAUUCCACAGUUUGAACUAGAUCCCUCAACUUUAACUUAUUUUAAUUUAAAAUUUUAAUAUAUUUCUAGCAAAUAAAACUCGAACAAAUAUGAUAGAGAAAUUAAAUUUAAUUUUUAAUGAAAAUAGCUAAAAAACUUCGGUUUUAAAAAAUUAAAAAUUAAGAAGGUGUUAAUCAAAGAGUUCAAGUUGAGGGGUAAUUUCAAAGUUACCUAUAGUUUAGUUGGUUUCCAUAUAUUUUUAUUUUUAAAAAUAAAAAGCUAUUUUGAUAGCUGUAAUUUAUAGUAUUUAAAUAAUUAUACAUUAUUAGUUCACUCCGCAAAAUCUAAAAAUUAAUAAUAUACAAAGAACGCAUGAUUUAUAAAUUUUCUUUUAUAAAAAAAGUCUAAAAUUAUAAUUUUUGAUAAGUAGUUUUUCUAUUAUAAGAAACAGGGAGGUAGGGCGGAUGAAAGAAGGAUAGUUUACAAAUCGGAUGCUAAUUUAAUAAAAUACCGUAAUCAUGUAUGGUGGGAUAAUAAAAUACUGUAAUCAUGUGUGGUAGAAUAGAAGAAAGUAGAAGAGUAUUUUGAUCGUUUAGUACUCCUGAAUUGUACAUGUAAAAUUUACAUUUUUUUUCAUAGACUAAAAAUCGUUAGAUGCAAUCUUGAGUAAAUAAUACUUUAUAUUAAUUUGUUUAAAUAGAUUUUCAAUUAUUUGCCUUUAUCUAUUCUUAUUUUCUUUUACUUUUCCACUUGAAGAUGAAUCAAGGUCAAACAAGUAGAGAAAAUAGACUAAAAAGAAAACAGAUUAUUGAGGAAAAGCAGUGCAGACAAGAAUUAAAUAAAAGAUAUGCAUUACUCAAAAGGUAAAAAAGGAUUAUAACUGAUAUUUGAUCAAUUAAUAAUUUUAAAAUUAUAACAAAAUAAUAUAUUUUUACAUGAUUAAGCAAAGGAAUUUUAAAUCUUCAAACUAUCCAUCUCGACAAAACUUGAAAAAACAAAAAUUGGACCAUAAGAACCAAGUUGUAAAAGGGACAAACAACAUAAGUUACCCAACUCGAGGUGAAAACAGUAUCUCAUGUACUGAGAAAAUUAUAUGUACAGUGCAACAAGGUAUAAUUUAAUACUAGAAAGUUAAAUUAUUCUACGAUAGUUUCAAACUAUUUAUUAAAGAAUGUAUUUUCCUUUCUUCUUAGAAAAUGGCGACGAAAUUAAAGAUAAUUACUUACAACAUAAUGAACGUUCCCAACCUGUUAAUACUGUGCAGAGCUAUGCUUCAGGUGUGUACUAAAUUAAUCUUAUAAAAAUUACAUGUUUGUUUAUACAUUCGUUUUGUACUAUUAUAAGUUUAUUCAUGAAUUUUAUUAAAUUUGUUUAGGUCAUAAAGAUGAAGUACUUGAUUUAGGCACACCAGCAUAUGCGUGUGAAUAUUGUGGUGCUUACUUCUGGUAUAGAUAAAUAUAGCAGAAUCAGUUCUUCAAAAUUUGUUACUUUUAGCGGAACGAAGAAGAUGAUCCAUGCAUGCAAAUCAAGCACUAGCAAAAACCAUUAAAAUACGGUCAUUAAGCAAUUAGAUGGAGAUAAGUAACUUACAGAUGGUUCCAAAAAUGCUGUUAAGCCUGUUUCGCCAUUUAUAAGAGCCAAAAGAAAUGAAACAACGGCAGCUGCAAUUAAUAUUUUGACAAGCAAAUCAUCAAACUGCUUCAGAAUUAGCUUCCAAAAAGGGGUACCUGCAAAAAUAAAUGUCAACAAUAACUACUAUUAAGAUCUUUGUCGUAUAAAGAUCAACAGCAUAAAAGUGUUAGCUCGAAGAUUAAGUGUUAAGACACCCUAAAACAAAAUGAUGCCACAACUUUGACAAGAAAAGGUUGCCAAACAUAUAAAACUUCAAUAAUGAAUGAACAAGGCAUAGUGUUACAUAAGAACGACGUACUAAUUGACAAUUUCCUUAGGAAGACACUGUGUUUAGAUCGGUAGAACAUUCCAUUAAGUAACACAAAAAUGCUUUCCGGCAGCAAAUAAACAAGAAAAAAAACAUGCAAGAGCAGGGCUCUAUGUCUCAAUUUCAUUGUGAUCAGCUCCCUGAAUCCUUUUCUACUAUGCAAUUCUAUUUCGCACAUUUCUUCAAGCUAAAGGCACGGUGAUCUUUUCAUGUCUGUUCCUUCUCUUCAUUUGAUGGGAUCUUUCAUUCAACCAAAUAUCCAAUGAUGUUCUCCUUAAGUGCUUGACAGACAUAUCAAAACCUUUUGAACAAUUUCCAGUAAUUUAAUCUUCAAGCCGUAACUUCCAUCUAAAUAUUCUGAAGUCAAGAGCCCUUGCUCUGUAUGCACGUUUUUUUUGUAAUAAUCAAAGUUCUAAAAAUAAAGCACAUAUAAUCAAUAGAUGUCCUUAAAAAUUCUCUAUGCUUUAUAAGAAGCAUAAUACAGCCAAGUUAUGUACUUCUACUUUUCUUUUAGUAAUAACAAAAUUAUUAAUCAAAGCACUUUAUUACUUUUCUCUCAUUUUAUUCUGAUAACUAUUUACAGUGUACAUCUAUUCUAAUCUAGUAUAUAUAUUUUACAUAAUUAAAAACAGAAGCUAGCAACCAACACAUGGCCUAACUUUGAGCACAUAUUAAGUUCAUAACAGCUACGCGAAGAAGAGAAAGAAAAAAAAUUAUUGGUACUUCUAAUAAGCCAAUCGUAAAUCAAAGAUAAUAUUGUCAGAAAACAAAUCUAAAGAAGCAGGGAAUAAUGGUUACUGGUUCAUCUCAAGCAUUAGCUCCAUAAAACCUACAUAAUGAUUAAACCAGAUUAAAAAAAAAGUAUCAUCUGAUUGCAUAGGCAGCAUGCCAGUUUCACAGGAGAACCAUAUGCGAAUUCAAAUUGUGAUGCCCUGCUGAAAAUUUUGCAAAAGGUGUCGGCACUAUAUUCUACGGAAAAUGCAUUAGGUUUACAAAAGUGGCAGUUUAUCAUGGCAGUGACUCAAAGAAAAAAAAAUUAAAUAAGAAAAAACAGAGAUGUUAUGACUUGCUAUAUUUAGAGAGACUAAAACAUAGUCAGUCAUACACGCAGUAAACUACUUGAAACUCUCAGGCAACAAAACAUACAGCAAUAUUUGAUGAGUUUUUAUGAUACUAUAUACUUUUUCACAUUAGAGAAAAGAAAAAAAAAAUCAAGAAUAAGAAUAGAACUUACUUCCUUCUUGGGGUAGCACUGCAGAUCGUGCAACACAUGCAAAAAUGAAACAAUCAAGAGUCAUCAAUAUCAAAUAUCAGAAUAUAAAUAAUAAACUGAAAAGGAAAAGGCUAAGUUCAGCAAUUGAAAUUUCAGUAAUAACAUAGAAGCAAAAAGUCAACCACAUUAUAUUCCUUACGGCCAUCAAUUUUUUAUCAUAAUAACAAAAUAUAAACACAUUAUCCCUUACGGCCAUCAAUAUUUUAUCAUAAUAACAAAAUUAAUUCGCUAAAAAAGUAGUAAUAAUAAGACGCAUACCAUUCCUUCCAUACAUCCUUGCAUUUUCGGCCACCUACGCAUCACAAAAAAAAAAAAACAAAAAACAAAAUUAAAACCAAAAUUUGAAAACAACCCCAGUUCAUAUAGAAUCAAAUCAUGCACUGCAAAAAAGAAAAAAGGAAAAAUUGAAAACCACCCCCACGCGAUCGAUACCUGCGUAUCCGAGAGGCCCUUGGUCGGAUCUACACCGAAUGCUUCAAGCACCUAAUCACAAGAUCAAACAAAAGAAGCGUUUUUUAGACACGAUAGCUCUCUCGAUCCAAUUGAUCAAGCACAGAAGCGUUCUUUUAAACCCCCGCACUGCACGGAUCACGAAGGCGAGUCGGAGGAGAUUAGGGUUUACCUCGGCGACGGAUUUGGCGUAGGCGUUCUCCAUGGGCGAACAACCGAAGAGCUCGAUCUCGCGCCCUUGACGCGAGAUCUAGAGAGAGAGAGAGAGAGAGAGAGAGAGAGAGAGAUGGGUGGGGUUGUCGUGUGGAGGCGAAGUGAGUGCAGGGGCUCGCCAGAUCGAAUCGGAUCGUAGGGUUUUGAGGGGUACAAAAAAAAAAGGUGGGGGACGAGCGAGUAACGGUAACGGUAACGGUAACGGUCGUGAAAUGUAACGGUGGAAAGCAGGCUCAUUUAACGGAAUGGAAACGUGAUGUGAUGUUAAUUGAAUUUUUGGAAAAAACUUCAAAUUCCACCGCGUAAUUUCGCACUUUCUCACUUUAGUAUUCUACAGUUUAAAAUGUAUCAAUCUAAUACCUAUAGUUUUUUUUUAUUUUUUAUUAUCUCCUAUAUUAAUUUUUUUUGAUAAAUCAGUGAUAAAAUUAAAACUAAAAUGUACUAAAAUAAAUAUUUGAUAAACUUAGGUAGGAUAUCUUAAGUUUUUUGUAUAUAAUUUAACAAAAUGUUAACGAAGGAGCUGACGAAAAAAAAAAAAAAAUACCACAGGACUAAACUAAUACAUUUUAAAUUACAUAAUACUAAAAUAACAGAGUGUAAAACAAUAGGGUGGUAUUUGAAAUUUAUCCUUGAUUUUUAUAUUCUCUCUAUUUUUUUAACCAUCAGUUCAACAUGUUAACGAAAUGUUAACGAAGGAGCUGACGAAAAAAAAAAAAAAAAAAAAAACCACCGGACUAAACUAAUACAUUUUAAAUUACAUAAUACUAAAAUAACAGAGUGUAAACCUAUAGGGUGGUAUUUGAAAUUUAUCCUUGAUUUUUUAUAUUCUCUCUAUUUUUUUAACCAUCAGUUCAACAUGGUCCAGAGAUUUCUCAGUCUCAUGGAAUCUUUGCUCAUUCUAUUUUCACCCCCCAUGAGAAAAAAAAAAUUCCUAAACCCGGACCACCACAUCAGCCAAAUAUUAGCUCAUACUUCUCACUCCACGGAGUCCUACAAAAUUUUCAAAAAAAUAAAAAGAUCCAGAACACAACUCCUGUAAUUUCGAAAUUACGAAAGUUUUCGUAUUUAUAAGUUAUUUUCAAUAAUAGGAUAUCCGAUGCAACGAUCGACACUACUGUUAGGCAUAAUCUAAGCAAGUGAAAUUAUCUAAAAAGCAAAUUUCAUAAUUUUUCGACAUCAUUUAUCAAGUGAUCAAAAGAUCUCGAAAUGACUAUUUUUAACGGUCGAUGUGGCAUGUUUUAAGUUCAACGGCGUAAAUUAAUCCAAAUUACAUGAAACUUUAAUAGAAAAUUCUACUUAACAUCAAUAGCAACACCAAUACUUCUAAUUUGAAAUUUGAGUAUUUUAUCACUAUUAUUUAUUAAAUUUUUAUUUUUAGCCGUUCAUAUUGAGGCAGCUCGUUCACUAGGCGAAUGGAGUUAAAAAAAAAAUUAUGAGAUUUGAUUUCUAGGUAGUUUCAAUAGUGUAGAUUAUGUUUAACAGAACUGAUCGCUGAAUCAGAUGUUUGGUCUCCGUAUUCUUGAAAGCAUAGGAGGCUCAAAGACUCCGUAUUCUAUUUCCAAAUAUGUGAGGAUAUAAAAAGAAGGAAAAAUUUUAAAUACCACCCAUGUGGUUUCAUACUUUCUCACUUUAGUACUCUCUGGUUUAAAAUGUAUCAAUUUAGUGUCUUGUAAUUUUAUUUUUAUCUUUUUAUUAUCAAUUUCACUAAUUUUUUUCGUUAAAUCAGUGUCAAAGUUAAAACUAAAAGGUACUGAAGUGAAUAUUCAAUAAAUUUAAGUAGGGUAUAUGAAGUAUUUUGCAUAUAAUUUAAUAAAAUAUUAACGGAAAAUCUAAUGAAAAGAUAAAAAUAAAAUCACAUGACACUAACUUGGUACAUUUUAAAUCACAUGAUAUUAAAAUGAGAAAAUGUGAAACCAAAGUGGCGGUAUUCGAAGUUUACCCCAAAAAAAAUUACUGGUUCACAGUGGACCACGGUCCACGGAAUCCUCACCCGAGAUCGAUCUCUCUCUCUCUCUCUCUCUCUCUCUCUGUAUCCGCUUCCCCUUCGCGUGAUUCCAUUCUCCAGCACCUCUCAAUCUCUCUCUCUCUCUCUCUCUCUCUUCAUAGAUCUCAGCCUCCCACGAGGCCAAAACGCCCGAUUCGAUCGAAAAAGCACCUUAAUUUGAUCCUGUAUAAGGUAAAUUUCACUUCCCACUAUGCGAUUUUGGACUAGGAGAAGCGAAUCGGCUCUGAAUCGACCGUGCUCUGUGUUUUCCGAUUAAAAUGAGUGGAUUCUCCCACUGGGUUCGCUUAGAAUCCCACUAAAAGAUGAUAUCUAGGAUUUAAUCGGCGUUGUGCGGUGCCAAAUGAGUGAAUUGUAGUACCCGGAUGAUCAAUUCUCUUUUAAAGAUGCGAUUUUGGACCGGAAUGAUCGAGUUUGUUGAGUGAUUUCUCCGAAUUCGAAGUGCCCAUAAGGCGAAACCCUUGAUUGUAGGCCGUUUUAUGUGUUUUUGAUGGAGAGAUAGCUUCGAAUCGAAGUGCCCAUAAGGAAACAUUGGGUUUUUGGGCGAUUUUUUGUGUUGUAAAGAUGAAUUCUAGGGUUUCUUCUAUGGAGGAUGUGAAGGAUUCGAUUCAGAGGUCGCAGCCGAGGGUGUUCAAGUUGGUGCUUUUGAAGUUUUUCCUUGUAUUCCUUGUUCUGGGUGUUGGUUUCUCCCUCUUUAGCAUGUACAUGGCCCGGCAUAUCGGGGUGCGAGACAUAGUAUUGCAAGCUCAAUCCACAUUCAAGCCGUGCUUCGAGGAGCAGGGUAGCCUCGACCGGUGGAUCAGGCCGCCGUCGACCUUGAUGCACUCGAUGAGCGACGAGGAGCUCUUGUGGCGGGCGUCGUUCGUGCCGCUCGUGAAAAAGUAUCCUUUCGAGAGGAUUCCUAAGAUUGCCUUCAUGUUCUUGACGAGAGGGCCGUUGCCGCUCUCGCCGUUGUGGGAGAAGUUCUUCAAAGGGCAUGAAGGGCUUUACUCGAUUUAUAUCCACGCUCUUCCUUCUUACGAGGCCAACUUCACUUCCGAUUCGGUUUUCUACAAAAGGCAGAUUCCCAGUAAGGUAUCUUUUUUGGCUUUUUUUUAAAGUUUGCAUUUAGGCUGUUUUGAUUCUUUGAAUAAGUAUGAUGUGCAUAGCUGAUCUUAGUUCGAUGCGUAAUAUUUUGUUUAGCAUCAGUACCAUAGGAUAUUGAAGCAUCUUUUUGGAGCAUGCUACUUUUUUUUUCUCUCUUAGCGCGAUGUUAAGUGGAGCCGUUUUAAUUGUAACAAUAAACCUUUCAUCUUUUCACAUCUUAAUCAUUGCAACAGGCCACCAGGUUAGUGUCUUUUCAUAUCUAUAUAUCCUACCUAGAUGCCAUACAUUGUUAUCAUUAGGAAAUAUUUGCUGCCGUAGGCUUUGUUUUUGCAAAUAGAUGGCCACAUUCUUCCAUAAUUCUGUUGCGUCUCUUUUUUGUGACAGUCAGCUUGGUUGUUUCAAGAUGUGAGCUUAAAAAUUAUGUGCCUGCAAGUGGUAUUAUUGAUGUUCUAGGUUGCUCCUUUCUAGAUUUAUACGAUGCUCAUAGGUUUUCCAUUUCGUUUAUAGGAUGCUCAUAGGUUUUCUACUUCAACUUCGCAUUUCAUGCAUCUUCUUGGUCUUGCAGAUAAUGACACUUCUUUUAAUUCACUGCUCGCCUCUUCUCCAAAGAUGCAAAGGAAACUUUAGCCCUCGACCUCAUUUAGACCCUGUUUGUUUGCAUAAAUAUCUUGUUUGAUAUAUCCAUACGAUUUACUUAAGAAGCAUAUAGUAUUUGACAUGUGAGGAGUGUGAUCAAAUAUCUAGAAUGAACAUCAUAUUUGGCCUUGAAAGUCAUUUUUUAGUAAUAGGAUAAAUCACCUUUUAGGUAAAAUAUACUAUCCUACCAAAUCAUGAAUGUCAUGAUCUUUCAAUGAGCAAAAAUCAUAAUAAAAGCUUCCAAUCAGGCAAGAAAAUUUUCAUUAGUAAGGUUCAAGACACUAAAGAAUGAUAGGGACACUAAAGAAUGAUAGGAUAUUUCGUCAUUAAAUUAUAUCAGGGAGCCCAAAUAGGGUCUGAUAAUUAGCUUUACAUGAGAUGGAAAUCAUAUGAGAUUUUGUUGUUUUUGGCUAGGGCAUGCCAGGUAGAUCAGAAAUAAGAUUAAAAGUCACUACAGCACACUCAGUUUUACAAAGAACAUUGGAUCGCUUAUUUUUUAAGUUUGCAUCGGGUCAUGGGUCGAGCAACCUCUGGUGGUUGAAGAGGUCUUUUCAUCUCUAAUGGUGAUUCCACCGUAGUAGCUUAUAAUAAUGCUUCAUAUGAUGCGGAUACACUUCAUAGUUUUUAAAUUUGUAGUAUAUCAAGGAUUGGGGGGACUGUGGCAGCUUAUUCAAGAAAUCAUCGUCUCCCCAAGGAAUAAUUUUAGGGAUAUUAUCUGAGUUGUGCUUUGUGGAAUAGGCAAUGCUCGUCGGCUUGUUAGGAUGGUAUAUUGUGUACAAAUUAUAUCUGUAUAAAGUGUUCACCAUGACAUCAUCUUAAACAGUUUAUGAGUGUUUCUAAAGGUGCUUGUGUCCUUCUUAGCUUGCAAGGCGAGCAUGUAAGGUUUGUUAGGCUCUAUCACUAAAAUAGUUUAGCGCUAUUUUUGUGCUUUAAGGAAGAAGAGUUGGGAGAGGUGAAAUAGAUAGAAGAGAAGUUGGAUAUUCUAUAAUCUCAACAAAAUUGAUUAUGCCAAACAUGGAUGAGUUCGGAGGAUGACGUCUUGAAAAAAGACAAUCAAAUAUAUUUUUACUGGAUUCUCAUUAUGUGCUAUUCAUCUAAGAAUCUAGACUAAAAGCUUUCCAUGUUUGUCACAUUUUUUAAAGUGCUAUUUCAUCUUGUUAGAGUCAAAAUAUUCAGUAGAAUAUGCUCUUGGAUUUUCCCUUAAACAAUCUUGUUGUGCUGUGUCAUCUUGUUCCAGUCAGAACAUUCAUCAUAAUAUGCUCUUUUGGAUGCCCCAAAGACAAGUGCUUAAAGAAGGCCAACAAGUAUACAAAUUAAUCCUCUAGUCCACUCUUCCCUCAUUAGCCAUUUUCCAUGUAGGCCCCAUCAUAAGCACUCAUAAAUCAACUGCUAAACAACAAGCACAAUUAAGCAUCUCUUCCUUUUGAAAUAACAGCUUGAAUUUGGAUAAUCUGGCUUAUUUUCAAAGCAGAAGCAGCUUGUCUUGAGCUAACUAUGACAACUGUGCCACAACCCCAAAAGUGGAGUAAUAGGUCAAUUUAUUAAUGUUUUAAAACAUGCUUAUAAUAUUCAUCACAGAGCAGAUAAUUGGCACAUAGAUUCUUCUAUUGGCUUUUCUAUUAGAAUUCUGAAGGCUGUAUUGUUUCCAAAUGUGUAUCUCUUGAAGUUUGAUUGGAUUUAUGGAGUUCGGAGAUCGGAUCAACAAAUUUGGAUGAGAUUGUGCGGAAAAGCUGUUAAAAUGUAAAGACAAUGAGGCAGUUUAUUUAGCAAUCGUAGGAUCUAGCAGACAGUGACUUUCCGACCUCAGUUUUUAUAGUAGUAAUGCAUUGGAAUUUCGGCAUUUUGGCUUAUAAUUACUUUUCAGCCGAAGCUGAUCCUGGUGUUGGGACAAAAAUGAGCUAUAUUUUCAACUUAACCUGACAAGACCUUAAGAUAGUGCAGACCUGUAGCGAGCUUAAUCACGUUCCUAUGUCAGAAUUGAUUUGACCCUGUCGGAUUUGGUUGGAGGAUUUCCCCUGAGCGCGAAUCUACUUCAUGAAUUGCACAUACUGCUGAAACUUUCCGUGUUAUGUAAAGAACAUUGAUUCUCAUUUUAUCUGAUUUCCGUCUGUUAAAGUACAACAGAUCCUCACUCUGCAUUCGAUGCCUGCGCUAUCUUUGAUCUCUUUAUUCGAGAUUGACAGCCGUUCUUUCUGCUCUGUACUCCUUUCUAAUAUAGUUAAAUUCCUAACAAACUAUGGCCAGCCCAUUUUCUAUGAAAACCCAUAUCUAACUUUUAUUGCACGAUUGUUAGCGACCCUUGGAUUGGUUGAAUCAUGUAGUGCUUUAAGUAUUUGACAUUUCUGUUGUUGUAAUUCGGUUUGCGUGCGCAAACAUGAAAUGGUCCAACUGAACAGAUUUUGCCGCCGUCGUAUCAUUUGAUAUUUUCUAAAUACUCGACUAUUUAGAGAUAAGAGUUUUAUACGAGUAAUAUUCUUCACUGCGGGAUUAAAGGAAACGAGAAAAAAAUGUAGCAAGUUGAAAAGGAUUAAAUAGUCAUCAAGGGAUUGGGGUUCGUCAAAGAAGAGUUCAUAGUACUGACACAGCAGGAGCGAGCUUUAUUAUUACUAUCUCUUUAGCUUCUGUGCUUUAUAUCCAAUUCUAUGCUGUGCAGUAGACUCUCUCUGUAUACCUUUGUUUUGAGCUUCUGUUUCGAUACAUGAGGUCACAGGACCGAUUCGUAUGUUGUACUUUCUAUCUGCUUCAGUAUUCCAACUUCCUACUAAAAACCUAUUUAAGCCUAUUUACUGCUUAUUAGACCUUAGGAGAUCUCAGAUUCACUGGCAAUUUUGUAAGAGUGUUGCUCCAGCAUAUACGCAACUAGACUUACCUAAAAUGCGAGUUUAUUUGCUUUGCGGAUUUGGCACUGGAAAGCAAAAUGUUACUCUCGAUUAUCUUCUUUGUUUGACCUUAUAGUUUUGUUUUCCAAAUCAAAUCUUCAGGUAUCUGAGUGGGGCGAGAUGAGCAUGUGUGAUGCCGAGCGGCGCUUGCUCGCCAACGCACUGCUCGACCUCUCCAACGAGUGGUUCGUCCUCCUUUCUGAAUCGUGCAUCCCUCUCUACAGCUUCAACGUCACCUACAAAUACUUAUCCAAGUCCGUCCACAGUUUCAUGAGCAUAAUCGACGACCCCGGCCCUUACGGUAGGGGCCGCUACAACGAAAACAUGUUGCCUGAAGUCAACAUCUCGCAAUGGCGAAAGGGGUCUCAGUGGUUCGAAGUCAGCCGAAAGCUUGCGGUCUCUAUAGUCAAAGACACCGUUUACUACCCGAAGUUCAAAAAAUUCUGCCGUCCGCAUUGUUAUGUGGACGAGCAUUACUUCCCCACUAUGCUCGCCAUCGAAUCUCCGCAUCUGUUGGCAAAUAGGAGUGUCACUUGGGUGGAUUGGUCAAGAGGCGGCGCCCAUCCGGCUACAUUUGGGAGGUUCGACAUCAGUGAGGCGUUUUUAAGGAGGAUUCUCGAGGGGCACACUUGUUCGUACAAUAAUCGCAAUUCGACGAUUUGUUUUCUCUUUGUGAGGAAGAUUGCUCCGAGCGCUUUGGAGCCCUUGUUAGAGUUAGCGCCGAAAUUGCUCGGCUUUGGCUAGACAAUGAGAAUUUUUGCUAGAUUCUUGGGAUUUUCUUCUUCUUUUUUUUUUUUGAUGAUGCGUUUUACGGAGAUCUCCUCGAUCUUUAGUAGAUUUAUGUAGUGAUGGAAUUGACACGCAUAUUUUUAUAUUUUUCAUUAGUGUUACACUUGAACCACUUUUUUUUGUAUAGUAAAUUGCCAGAUAUAAAUUUCACUGAAUACAGCUCUAGUUGAUUUCUAUGGAUUCUAUGUUUUUUUUUUUUUUCUUUUGGUAUUGAUUUAAGGCCUGUUUGGCUCAUCUAGAGCAUGCGUACAAAAUGUUGUUCGAAUAAAACUAUUUGAAGAAUCUGUAGUAACUAAUGUUUCAGUUGUGAGCAUAAAGGGGCCGUUUGAUUAGAUGUAAUUUUAAAUGCAGUAUUGUUGGAGAUGCUUAUAGUUGGAAAUGCAGUAGCCACAAUUACAUGCACUUUGCUCGGUUGGAUGUAAUAGAAAGUGUUGUAAUUAUAAAUAAUCUCUGAUUACAUGUUGCUGCAACUUCAUCCCUUCAUUAAGUAGGUCUGGGCCCAUCUUCAUAUUGGACCAACCUAGAAUGGUAUGGGACCAUUAUUGUCCUUUUUAAACGGAAAAAAAAGAAGCCCAAACCCAUUUGAGCUUUACUAUGAUUUGAGAUUGAGUUUGUUACCCCAAUCUAGUAAGAAACAAAUCAACAAAUAUGGUAGCGUUUGGUUCGGGUAUAAGCAAAAACUAGCUAUUACAGGAAUAUGUACAAGUAUGAAGAUAAGAAAAAUAGCGUUUGAAUGAAAAUUGAGUUGUUUCCGGAGAUAAGAAAAAUAGCAUUUGGAUAGAUAAUAUGGAAUAAGAAAAAUAGUGGAUAAUUACGUAUAGAAAAUGAAGAUGUUGAUUAUUUUAGAUAACCGAGAAUUACUAUUUUCGGAUAAAAAAUUUGUAUUUGGGUAUAAAGGGGAUAAGGAAUUAUCCCUCCCCUUAUCGGAGUUAUCCCUCUCCUUAUUCUCAAUCCAAGUACUGCCAUUUAGACAUAAAAUAAAGAGAUUUAAAAUUUAUUCGAAUACUAUAUUAUUCGAAAGAAUAUAUAAUAGAGUUCACCAUUGAACUUAAGAAUUUGAAAUAUAUGGUACAUAAAUAAAUUUCUGUCCUUUUUGAAGUUCAGAUGAUGAUCUCAAAUUGCGCUAAAAGUGUACUCUUUCUCUUCUUCCUUUGCUUCUUUUUUUUUUUUUCUUUAUUCGUACGACAUUUGGUUGCGCAAACCGAUGGAGACAUCCCAAGUCUCAGUAUGUUCAAGUCAAAUUGAGCCUAAUUUUGAAAACCCCAGUUUGGUGCAGUGGAAAUUAAUGCUUUCGCUGUAAAUUCAAAGCUUGAUGUGAAAUGGAUCCGUGGUGGUGGAGCUCCCGUCCUGAUUCGCUUCGAAUGCAGCGAUAAGUGGUGAGAUCAAAAAAAAAAAAAAGAGAAUCAUCUCAAAUCAAUCCCGAUCCGUAAAAAAGAUGGAUCGUCCAAAAAUCCACCAGAAAUCCGCUCCAGCACCAUCCUGCUUCGAACAUCCAGAAUUCGCUCUGACCUGCCAAAAACAUGGGGCAAGGGGUGCGAGACUCCUCCGGUCUCUAUAUCCGCCCUGUUUGCAUCGCUGAUCUUAACUAUUUUUUUCUACUCCGAACAAAUAGUUUGCUACAACUCCCCUCCCUAUUUCAAAAAAUCUUGCCCAUCAAACCUUUCUAAAUGUAUAUAUAAAUAUAAAUAAAAAAUAAAUAUAUUAUUUUCUUUUUCCAAGCUGAAGGGUUACCAAAAGCAUUGAAAAAUAUUCAUAAUUUAUUAUAUUAUUUUAGUGGGGUUAGGUUGGAUGUUGUUGCACCUUACCUCUUGGUGUACUUGAUAUAUUUACAAAAAAAGGUUUCUAAUUAUGGCCAUCUCUCAAAAUAUUUAUAUUUUAACAAUAGGGUUCACAAUAUUAGUAAUAGGGGUAGUAAUUGUUUUUGGCUAAAAUAUAAAAAAAUUUUCUGUAAAUAUUCCCUUUUCACUUUUUCUUCUCGGACUUUUUAAAAAAAUCUAUAUUUUAUCCAUUCAAAAUUUUAAGUUGAUGCAUUAAGCCUCCCUACGUUAGGAUUCUGUUAUUAUUCCGAACAUUUUUUAUAAUUUAUACUGAGAAUGUUCUUUAAAAAUGAUAUAAAUAUAUUAAAAAGUUAUUUUUUAUAUACCAUAAGUAUGAACAAUUUGAUCAUAUUGCCAUUUCUAUUAGCAUCAUAUCCCCUGAAAAUAUUUUCAAAAUUUUAAGGAGGCAAAAUGCAGGUUUUUGAAAGUAAGAGGUAUUAAUAGAGGAGUUUUCUAUAUUUUAGACGAACUUUUUUUGAUAAUUUGUAGAUAAUUAUUGUAUUUACAUUAACUUAAUAUUAGAGGGCACGUUUUGAACCUAUGGUUAACAUUUUCUUAGUGGUAAUUAAUAAGGACAAGAAAUUAAUGGGUAAUUGUUUGGAAGGGUUAGUAGACUAAUUUUGAUAGAAGUAAUGAAUCUGAUAUGUUAAUAUCAAAUCAAUUCUGUUAAUAGCACCGUCGUUACGUUGUAUCAUAUAAAAACGAAGCAAAUUAUAUGUGAUAUAUAUAUAUAUAUAUAGAGAGAGAGAGAGAGAGAGAGAGAGAGAGAGAGAGAGAGAGAGAGAGCAGGGCUGCUGUGCUCUCAGGAGCACGGAGCCGUUUUCAAUGAUGGAAUUUCCGAAUCGACGAUCGGCUUCGUUAGACUUGAUCUGGCGUAUUUGAAGAUUUUAGAAAAUAAUUUUUGCGAUUUUUUGAUAUCAUUUACCUAGUGAUCGAUGGAUUCAAAAUCAAUAAUUUUUAAUGGUUGAUAUCUGCCGUUUUCAAGUUUAACGAUAUAGAAGUAUUCAAAUCGGAUGAAAUUUUGAUGCAAAAUUUUUUAUACUAUCUAUAACAAGAUCAAUAUUUCUGAUCGAAAAUUUUAGUGCUAUAUUACCACUUUUUAUAAAAUUUUUAUUUUCAACUGUUAAAAAUUAUUGAUUUUGAAUCCUGUCAAUUGCUAGGUAAAUGAUAUCGAAAAAUCGCAAAAAUUAUUUUCUAGAAACUUCAAAUACGCUAGAUCAAGUUUAACGGAGCCGAUCGUUGAUUCGGAAACUCCAUCAUCGAAAACAGCUCAGGAGCACAGAGACCUCCGUGCUCCUUAGAGCACAGCAGCCCUGCUCUAUAUAUAUAUAUAUAUAUAUAUAUAGUAUAUAUAUAUAUAUAUAUAUAUAUAUAUAUAUAUAUAUAUAAGACGUAGAAUUAAAGAAUGAAAAGGAAAUAUCUAUAGACU
rnacentral:lncRNA from 1 species